rnacentral:rRNA from 1 species
UUCCCCUACGGGACGCAGCAGUGGGGAAUAUUGGACAAUGGGGGAAACCCUGAUCCAGCGACGCCGCGUGAGUGAAGAAGUAUUUCGGUACGUAAAGCUCUAUCAGCAGGAAAGAAAAUGACGGUACCUGACUAAGAAGCCCCGGCUAACUACGUGCCAGCAGCCGCGGUAAUACGUAGGGGGCAAGCGUUAUCCGGAUUUUCUGGGUGUAAAGGGAGCGUAGACGGCAGCGCAAGUCUGGAGUGAAAUGCCGGGGCCCAACACC